UUUCUUUUCCUCUAUUUAAAGAUAUGGUUGAACCCACUACUUGAGGUGGGAGGGAGAUGACAGCUCUUAUUAGGACAAGAAUAGGCUGGCCCCCACACAUGGAUAGAUAAUUGAGCCUUAUUAUUGUUAUUUUAAUAUGAAAUUUGAAUUACGUAGUAGUAGUCUCACAAUUACCACUCUAUCAAUUAAAAAAUUUAUAAUUUGAUCGUUAUUGAAAAAUCAAAUUAAUUUCAUAUAUAAACUUCAUUAUCUUAGUAAUCAUUUUUUCUUUUCAAAUCAUUUACUACUUUUAACAAAAAAAUUUAUUUUCAAAUAAAUAUUGAUUCCGUUAGUGAAAAGAUUAAUUACUAUUGAUCUCCUGAAUUUUAAAGAAUAUUGAAGAGAGGGG
rnacentral:misc_RNA from 1 species